UGGUGGAGUGAUUUGUCUGGUUAAUUCCGUUAACGAACGAGACCUCGACCUGCUAAAUAGCAGAAUCUAAUUCUUUGGAUUGGAUAAGCUUCUUAGAGGGACUAUCGGAUUCCCAGCCGAUGGAAGUACGAGGCAAUAACA
rnacentral:rRNA from 1 species